CAAAGGCAUAGGAGCAAUGGAAGAGCCCACCUGCCAUGUCCAAGCAGGUGUUAUGCUGGAGGAUCUUAGGAAAUUAGUCACUUGGGCUCACUCUCAUGGCUCCCACUGUCCCCACAAGCUUUGGCACAAGGGAAAACUUAACCCAGGGGUUGGGCAUCAGUGCAAAGUUAAUUGGAGAUGUGAGGUUGGACAUGCCUUCGACUGGGCCUUGACAUUUGCCACAGAGGUGAAAGUUGAGGAGGAAAAGACAGAGGAGGAGGUGGAUGUAGGUCAUAGGAGCAAGAGGAGGAGAAUACAACGCCUGUCCUCGGAUGAGGAAGAGGAAGGGGAGAUGGUAUAUACCCCAUUCAUUGGGAAUAUUACUGAUGAAAAUGGGGUUGAAUCCGACGUGAGCCACUGUAGCCUUGUGACCCAUGUGUCAAGAGAGGGAGGAGAUGCCCCAGUGAGAAUGCUGGAAGAGGCCUUGACUUUAAAGUCCAAGCAGCAGAGAACUGUGAAACAACCAUACUUUCCUAGGAUGAUUGUUAAGGAGCACCCCAAAGGCAAUAUCCACAUGGAAGUUAGGGUGGAGCUAGAGCAAACGAACAAGGAGUCAAACCAAGAGGGAAGGGGCAUUGAGAAGAGGACAGUUCUAAAGGAGGAAAGCCCAGGCCCAAAUGAAAACCUCAUUACAGCUCUUGACAUCACCCCUCUCCGAAGCUGCCUUUCAGACAUUGAGCGGGCCCCAGAAGAUGAGGAGUGGGCGACUCCUAAGGGUGGACAGUGUUCCCUCUCCCCUCCUAAACCUAAGCCCCUAUUCCAGGGCCAGGUUGAAACCCACAGGCAGGGCUCCUGUAGUGCUCCCGUCUUCCCACCUACACCUGAGAGAUCAGGUGUGGCCUCAGGGCACUGUCCCACUAAUAAAGGCAAGGUGAAGGCAGCACCCAAGAAACCAGCAGAGAAAAGGGGACCAAAGAGAGCAGAGGCCAGCCUGGGCAAUCUCAUGACCUUUGUCAUGUGGCUAAACUCUCAAAACCAUCCGGGGGCCCGCUGCCCAGGCAGCCUGCCUAUCGCCGAGCUGGACAGGUUAUUGGUCGCCUUCUUCCAGUAUGUGUGGGAGGAGUCCCGCCUGCAGGCCCUGAGCAGCAGCACUCUUACAACAUACGCCCGUAUGCUGGACCGUGAUCUGCAGAACCAGGGCUGCAGCUUCAGUAUCCGGAAGUCAGCCGAGUUCACAAACACCAUUAGGGAACUGGAUAGCUGCUGCCAGCACUUGAAGCAGAGAGAGUGGGACAGAGACAUCCUGGUGAUCCAAAGCUUGAGGAGAGAAGAGGAGGCUGCACUGAGGCAGGCAGGGGUCCUGUCUAGGGCCACACCGGAUGGGCUGCUCAACCUGGUCCUGCUCAACAACCUCAAGGCCUUUGGGAAGUUCCACCUCCAGGGAGUCUGGCCUGGGCGAGUCUCCGACUUCCACACGGCCACGGAGACCCACCCAGGGACGGGCGACGGGGAAAAACUGGAAUACCUGGAGUGGAACAAUACUAAUUUCCCAGAACAGAGCCCCGUACGGAUGCACGGCCUGGCCGACGAUCCAGAACGCUGCCCCCUGUGGGACUACAAGCUCUAUGUAUCCAAGCGUGUUGGAAGCCACCUGAUCGCCUCUGAUGCAAUGUACUGUUGCCCACUGAGCCAGUAUAGGCCCUGGGAUAAUUACUGGUUCAGCCGCCAUGCCAUGCCCAAACCUCGACUGGAAAAGAUUAUUAAGUCUCUGAGCCACCAUAUCCUCUCCGUUCGUAAUGGGAGGGCAGCAGCCGUAUAUUAGUCAGCAGGUACUGAUAGAAGAACAUUGAUUGUAUUUUAACUGUAUACUGUAUGUGCAUACAUGCAUUCAAAGUGUGAUAUCCUAGCAUGACGUGUGUUGUUUAAUUACACCAUUGAAUGUUGUAUGCUAUGUUAUGGUUGAAAUACUCAUAAAUGGUAUUCCAAAAAAAAUCUUAUAUUCAUGAUGGUCAUUCCUCAUGUUUCUAAGUUACUCCAGUCUCCAGCCGCUCUCAUAGUCUCCAGCCGCUCUCUCUCGUGUCAUAUUUACUGUACCUUAACUUACAUACUGUAGCCUGCAUGAGAGAGUUACAGAAAUGAGGAGCGAGAGAGAGAGGAUCUCGAUCACAGAAUUCAAUAGAACACAACUCUAUGCUUACAAUCACAACUCUUACUUGUCCCGAAGAUAACCCACGCAAUGCCACACUACUACCAGCUAGUGCUUUUUAUUUGGCUAGAUUGCAGUAGACUUUAGUCUUGAAUCUUUAGUCCUGAACAUGCACAUGAAAUGAAACUGAUUUAUUAUUUACUGUAUGACUUUCAGGACAGGAGCAUAUACAAUCUAGUACGAUACCACAACCUUGUACAACGUUAUAAAAUGUUUUAAGAAUGGCACUUUGAAAAUGUUUUGUGAGAAACAUUGUGAAGGGUAAUUCAAACGUUGGACAAGGGAAACCUUUUUCUCCUAAAUCAAAACGUUGAGACAACGUUGGUUCUAAUGUAACCAAUAUGCAACCUUGUAGAAUAUAACAAAAACACUCUGUCAGCUGGGUACACCUCUAGGAGAGCAUAAUAGUUUGGUCAAUGAGAGAGAGAAACAGGAUAUGGAAAGGAAUUAUAACAUUACUAUUUGAAUUUAAAAAUGGAACCUUUAUUUAACUAUGCAAGCCGGUUAAGAACAAAUUCUUAUUUACAAUGAUGGCCUACACUGGCCAAAUCCGGACGACGCCGGGCCAAUUGUGCACCGCCCUAUGGGACUCACAAUCACGGCCUGUUGUGAUACAGCCUAAAUUCAAACCAGGGUGUCUGUAGUGAUGCCUCUAGCAAUGAAAUGCAGUGCCUUAGACCACUGCGCCACUCAGGAGAAAAGACUGAUUGUAAAUUAAAGAAGCCUCCGGUUAAUCUAUUCCUACACGGAGUUCCUUUCUUAUCCCUAUUUUUAGUGAUAUCAGACGGGUUUAUAAAUAUGAAACUGUGGAAACCACUCUGGGGAGCAUUAGUGUGCUGAUUUUUUUUGUCUUGUAAUUGUUCACUCAACCAAGCACCUGUAAAAUCUAUCCUCCGUGUGUAUAGGUCUAGUACUAUUUAUCUGAAGCAGGGCCUGCGUACCUCCUUGCCCGACCAAAUCAAAUAUUGAAAUAUUGAUCAUUUAUUUGACCGAGACCCGCGCCGACAGAAAGACCCAUCAAUCUCAGCUAAAGCAUCCGAGCGAGCAAAACAGUUCCCCUCUAUCUCAGUAUGUAUAGACCAUGUAUCUGAUUCUGUCUGGACCAAAAGAGUAUGUCAUGUCAUACUAUUUCUGGCGAGACAGUAUCAGAUACAUGGGCUACAUAUAGAGGGGUCGCUCUUUCGCUCGCUCAAAUACUUUCUCAGGUGAUAUAGCUUCAGCAGAUGGGAAGAGGCGAAGCGAGAUCGAUCACUCUCGCCAAAAUCUGUCAAGAAUAAGCCCAAUGCAUUUCUAUGGGCAUAAUAUACAGACCUGAACUUGGUGCCUGCCUUCCGGCAUUUGGGACAAAGACUCCCAUUGUUAGGGCAGAGACGUGAUCAUCUCGUCAUUAUAUACAGAUCUCUGGUUUCAGCCUCUUGCAAAUUGGAAAGGAAAGUUGGCGAGUGCACAUUGUACUGUGUAGGCCUAUGCCUAACCAGGUAGCACAAACGUCUGGACUGAUUCCGGCAUGCCAGAUCUAAAACUGCUGGCCCAGCUGCCGGAUCCAGCCCGAGUCUGAAAUGAAUGACGGACUAGGCCCGAGUCAUUCGGGCCAGAUAUGGCAGCCUGAACUGAAUCAAAGUUGCCAUUUUAGGGACAGCAAUGGCCCAGCAAUGGCCCAAAUCCACUCGAUUCUACCCCCCUGCACUAAAUGUUUUAAAAUAUUAAAUGUAAGUAGUAAUAUUAUAUUAAAUGUUGGAAGGAAUAUUGCAGUGAUCAACCGAACUAUGAACAACAAACAUUAAAAAAAGACAUGACAUUUUCUAAUUUUAAAAUGUAUUUAAAUAGAUGAAAUUGAUUUACUCUGGGUGUCAUCCCUCAACAGGCACUAUGUAUGUACAGUAGCAUGGAUGUAUCCAAAUAAAUGUCACUAGAAAACAGCUUAAACAAAUGCUGCUACUUAGAAUAACAUCAAUCUACAGAGUUGACGUGACUGUGUUAGCAAUAUUUGGCUAGCUAGCAAGCAAGGGAUAAGAACAUCGCAAGCCUGCAUAGCAAUCAAACAAAUAGAAUGAACAACAGCUUCUCUAGCAACCUAACCAAUAUAGCUAACAAUCAACAAUCAGGUUUAGUGGAAGGAUGAAAUAGUAUGAAUGGCAGAGCCCCUCCUGUUUUGUGCCCCAUGUUUUUAGCAAAACAUUUUUUGUAUGUUAUUUUGGCAUUAAUACGUGUCACAUAUCAUUUAGCAAGUAAAUAAAUAAUAAUUGAGUUACUAAAGCCGCAUACAAACAUGGUCUCUUUUUUUCCUUCCAGGCAGCUCCAAAAUGCAGGUGUUUCAGUCUAGCUCAGUACUUUCUGUGGUGAUGGGGCAACCAGCAGAAAAUACAGAGCAUAGGGGUUGUUAAUGUUUGCUAGUUGCGUCGUGAUUGGCUCAGUGUUCUGUCUCUUAUAGGGACACUACGUCACUGCCAAAUCUAAGGGUAGAUUUCGAAAAUUCAAGCCCCUUGGGUGCUUUAAGAGUUACAUUAGAAUCCCCAAUCCAAGAAGGCUCAAGGUCAUUGGCCACCAUUAAAAUGAUGUCAAAUGACGUUAUAUCUACAGUAGCUUUGGUUGGACUGAUCAACAUCCUACUUCCAAAAUCUUAGCUAGCAGUCAUCAUCAUGAAUCAAGUCUGUCAACAUCCUACUUUAAAAAUCUUAGCUAGCAGUCAUCAUCAAGAAUCAAGUCGACAAUCUACUGGCAAAUCCUUUUUAAUCCUUGUCAUAUGAAGAUAAAUAAUAAAGAGAAAUUAUAGAUAAAACGUAUCGGUGCUCAUUGACCAUUGGUCAAACAUUACACAACCAGUUGGAAAUCACAAAUUCAACAAUGAGUGUUUUGGAAGGAAUCAGUGGCUAACUGCAAGCAUUGCAAAGCAAUCACUAGCCUGUUAUUCAGUAGAGAGGGUGUGUGGUCCCAAGUCUGGUUUUAAGACUUGCAAAACAUUCCACAUUGGCCAUGCUGUCAAUCCAGCAUGAUUUCUGCCGUGCUCAAAACAACUGUUAACUCUGAACUGGGAAAUCUGACUUCAGUGAGUUCAAGACAACUGGAAACUUGUGAAAAAACAAGCUCUGACUGGGAAAAUACAUUUUGAACGGUCAUCCAACUUGGAAUUGUAAGUCGGGAACUCGGGCCUCUUUCUAGUGCUACAACCUGAAGAUCACUCAUGUCAUCAUGAUUCGACCUUGUUUUUUUCAGAGUUCCCAGUUGUCUUGAAAGCACUAUAAAUCCAGAAAAUUCCAGACUUUGCUGACAAAGUUUGAUGACACACUUUGCCCACGAAAGACCGCUGCGCCACCUUCCUGUUCAUGUAAGCACAACAAGGUGAGUCCAAGAAUGUCUUGUAUGCUGCUGCAUAAAUGAUGUAAUAUGCCAGGGAGAUAUGUAUACGGUCGCUAAGAAAGUAAUACUAAGUGUAUGUUGUGUAGUAAGCUGUUAGUAGCCCAUGUGUCUCACCCUAAUAAUUUGGUCUAUUUUCCCCUCUUAAUUUCGCCUACUGUUCUGACUUGGUGGUGCACAUAUAGCCUACAACCUGUUCUAGAGAAAUGUAAUCGUCGGAUAUUGUAAGAGCUUUCAUUGUCUGCUUAUAUACCCCCUUUAUUUAUCCAACGGUUCUGACUUGGUGUAUAGGGAGAAUACUGUAAGAUUGGCCCAUGUUCUGAAUUCUGUCGCUGUACAUUUCAAAAGUGCUGAACAAAUAGUUAUAUUGACUACGUCCGUCCUAGCUCACUCAUUAAUGUCUUAAUAGAAAUUACGGAUUGCCUCUUAACCACUUGUCGUGCCCUUAUGGCAUAGUUUGAACAUCUCAAUUGUCAGUAGAAACCACAUUUGUUUAAGCAAGUCAGCCAUAUCAGCUAUGUUUUUUUUGAAGGCAGUAAAUGAGGCUGAAAGAACUGUUUCGCUGCCAGACAAGGCUCUGCUGAUAGCCAGGUGUAGCAGUGGUAUUUUUUUUGCCUCUCAGGCAAAGCCCUGGAGUGGGCCAACGCCGUAUGGAGUGAGGGAGACGCGGCGUUGGACCAUUACGCAGGUGAACGUCUGUUUCACCUGAGGCAGGGGACGAGGAGCGCGCAGGAUUUCUCUUUGGACUUCCGGACCCUGGCUGCCAGCGCAGGAUGGAACGACGGCCCUGAUCGAUCACUACCGGUGCAGUCUGCGCAAGGACGUCCGUCGGCAGUUGGCCUGCUGAGACACCACCCUCACGUUGGACCAGCUGGUGGACCUGUCCAUCCGGCUGGACAACCUGCUGGCCACCCGCGGGUGUCCGGAUCGGGGCCCAUCAGUUCCAUCCCCCAGCACCUCCGCUCCGACGCCCAUGGAGCUGGGAGGUGCUGUGCUUAGGGCGACUGGAGGAGGGGCCAUUCCCUGCACCAUCUGUGGCCGCAGAGGGCACACUGCUGGUCGGUGCUGGGGAGGUUGCUCAGGGAGUCGAGGCAGCAGGCAGGGCACUGUCGUGUCACCCCAGGUGAGUCGGUACCAGGCUCUGUGUUAUAUUUUUUGAAUACUUUAGUAAAUACGUUUAUUACUCAUAUCUGCUGUCCUUC
rnacentral:lncRNA from 8 species